CACGAAGAUAAUGACAUUCUGUCAGGCAAACAGAUGAGAAAGAGCAGGGAGAAUAUGGAUGGAAAUUUGACUAGAGUACACAAACAAAGCACUCAAGACAAGUCUGUAGUCCAUGUGUCCUCUAAGCAGAAACGUAGUCCUUCCAUGGAGGUUGGCACAAAAGUGAUUCUGAAGUCUUCAAUAUAUCCAAACAAAAGGCACGUGGCACAUGCU